rnacentral:lncRNA from 1 species
UCAAAACCGCAGCACAGAACCUGAAACAAACCCUUCCCCCACCUCACCAGCAGUUACAAUCAUACCAUUACACACGCCAGCUCCAACCCACAACCUUCCCAAUCCAGUCCCAACACAAAACCCUAUACCUCCACUCGUACAGCAAACGGGAAACUCCAGCUCAGAUUCUUCUCUGCCGGGACAGGUAGAUUUUUCUAAUCCUUUGCUUAGUACUACUAACAAUGAUAAUGUGAGUGCAGCUAUGUCAUCAGGAUCGCAACACUCUGCUCCUGCAACACCGACUCCUGCCUCCACUGCUG